CCUACGGUGGGCAGCAGUGAGGAAUAUUGGUCAAUGGGAGAGAGGCUGAACCAGCCAAGCCGCGUGAAGGAAGACGGUGCCAAGCGUUGUAAACUUCUUUUGUCAGGGGACAAAACCAGGGUCGUGAGCCGGACUGAGGGUACCCGAAGAAAAAGCAUCGGCUAACUCCGUGCCAGCAGCCGCGGUAAUACGGAGGGGGCAAGCGUUAUCCGGAUUUAGUGGGGGUAAAGGGAGCGUAGACGGGCUUGCAAGUCUGAGGGGAAAUACCCGGGCUUAACCAUGGUACGGCCUUGGAAACUGUGCAGCUUGAGUGCGCGAGAAGAAGGCGGAAUGCCUAGUGUAGCGGUGAAAUGCGUAGAUAUCACGCAGAACCCCAGUUGCGAAGGCAGCCUUCUGG
rnacentral:rRNA from 1 species